UGGGGAAUGAUUGCACAAUGGGCGAAAGCCUGAUGCAGCAACGCCGCGUGAGUGAUGAAGGCCUUCGGGUUGUAAAGCUCUGUCUUUUGGGACGAUAAUGACGGUACCAAAGGAGGAAGCCACGGCUAACUACGUGCCAGCAGCCGCGGUAAUACGUAGGUGGCAAGCGUUGUCCGGAUUUACUGGGCGUAAAGGAUGCGUAGGCGGAUUUUUAAGUGAGAUGUGAAAACCCUAAGCUUAACUUGGGACUGCAUUUCAUACUGGAAAUCUAGAGUGCGGGAGAGGAGAAUGGAAUUCCUAGUGUAGCGGUGAAAUGCGUAGAGAUUAGGAAGAACACCAGUGGCGAAGGCGAUUCUCUGGACCGUAACUGACGCUGAGGCAUGAAAGCGUGGGUAGCAAACAGGAUUAGAUACCCUGGUAGUCCACGCCGUAAACGAUGAGUACUAGGUGUAGGAGGUAUCGACCCCUUCUGUGCCGCAGUUAACACAAUAAGUACUCCGCCUGGGAAGUACGAUCGCAAGAUUAAAACUUAAAUGAAUUGACGGGGUCAUAGC
rnacentral:rRNA from 1 species